rnacentral:misc_RNA from 1 species
AAAGUCUAAGUUGUUUCCGUCACUUCCAGGUGCGUGAGGACGUGCACACGACAUCGCGGAGCAGCGUCAACACCUCGCACUAUUUCUUGCACCUUCGGCACAAGACGCCGCACAGCCUUCACAGCCACACACGCACACACACACGCACGAAGAAAAAUGGUGGGCGAACAAAGGGACACGUUUGUGGUGGAGUACUUCGAUCCACAAGCGAGCCUCUCUCGCACAUACCAGUUUUGCUACUUUACAGACGACAAAACGAUAGAGAUGUACAACCUCAAGACGAAGCGCUUGUUUUUGAAGCGCUGCGCCUAUCCGUCACUGAGCCCGAACGAGCUUUACGUGGGGGCGACGAUCAACGUCUUUUCCCGUCCCCUUCGCAUUAUCGACUAUGGCGACGACGCAACGCGCAAGCGGCUUACAGCGAACUCCGGUGAGUGCAUGAUUACCGUUGACAUGCAGCACCAUAGCGCGGCAGCGGGCUCCGUAAUUGAGGCCCUGACAACGCAAGGCCUGCGGAUUACGUUCAUCCGCUUAGUAGAGCUUUCGAAGAGCCUCGCUGCCCGAGUUGCAUCAAAGGCGCAGCGGUGCCUAGUUGUGCUUGCGAGCGGCGCCGGAGCCCGUGAAAAGGUGGCCUCGGUGGCGGCUUCUUUUUCCGCCGCCGUGACACAGAUUUCGAGCGAGAGUGCUGUGCAGGAGCUGAAGGAGGCAGUCAUGGGACCUGGCGAGUCCACAGCGGCGCUGAAGAACUGCGCCGUGUGCGUCAUCAAGCCACAUGCGAUCACUAGCGGCCAUCAGGGUCCCAUUCUUCAUCGCUUGGUCGAAGAGGGGUUUUACAUUAGUGCCCUUGGCUCUUACCAGCUGACAGUGGCGGAUGCCGAGGACUUUUUAGAGGUCUACAACGGAGUUCUGCCGGAGUACAAGAAGCUGGUGGAGCAGAUGUCGUCCGGCCCGUGCUGGGCCGUUGAGGUUUGCGCCGAGAACGCCGUGCCGGCGCUGCGGGCGGUGUGUGGCCCGCAGGACCCGGAAGUGUGCCACGUUCUUUUCCCUCACACGCUCCGGUCCAUGUACGGCGUGGACCGCAUCCGGAACGCUGUCCACUGUACCGACCUGGAAGAGGAUGGCCCCCUUGAAUCAGAGUUCUUCUUUUCUUUGCUGCAGAACAAGCAGUGAUCUGCUUAUCGCAAGAUGACUGGAGAAGGGGGCGAGCUGUGUGUCGGGACGCCAAAGGCACGAGAGGGGUUUACGCACUGGAAUACUCAUCAUGCCUUGUCUCUGUAUCCCACCCUCUUUCUGCUCCUCUCGAGAUGCACGUGCUCCGGCGACAGCCAGGACGUGUCCAGCGCACGGCAUUCCUGUUUCGUUUCCCCCCCCCCCCUCGGUGCUCUUGGAUGUAAAUAGCCUGACGCGCGAAGCGCAAGCUGAUUGCAGGCUACUGUAGGUGACGGAGGCCUACUCCUUUCGCACUGCCUCUUCAAAUGCUUCGCAAGAGCCGGCACAUUUUCUCCUGUGUGUGUUGAUUCCUUUCCCCCCUUGCCAUGUAAGAACAAAGGUGUCUUAUCGCCAAGCAAUAAUGAAACGACCAAAGAUGUGACUUCUGCAGCUGUGCUGCAUAGGUGUGUAAGGUGUGCGGCCUCGUCUGCUUCCACGGUAGUGAGCAACGGAUGCAUUCCCCGGAGCCACUGCACGAAAAUCACACACACACACACACACACACACACACACACACACACACACACACAGGGGUCGGUGAUGGGGGAGAGGGGGGAUCACAGGACAUAUCCCUGACUAGCUUUCCUAGCAGAUUUGGUUGUCUUCCCCUCCCUGAUUCAUUCUUCUUUUCCUUGCCCAUGUGCACGCUUGCACUCCUCUCUGUGUACGCGUGAAACUUGCUCUACCUCUACUUGCUCAUGCUCUACGGCUUCUUCUCCCUCUCCUCUCCUCCUGUGCCGUGCGCUUAUUCUUUCGUGUGGGGUGGUGGUGUUGGUCGUGGCCUGAUCACUAAACGAAACAG